GCCCCUGUGGCGGAAUGGGAAUACGCAGCAGGUUGAGGGCCUGUGCCCGCGAGGGCGUGCUGGUUCGAGUCCAGUCAGGGGCA
rnacentral:tRNA from 1 species